rnacentral:rRNA from 1 species
AUUGAACGCUGGCGGCAGGCCUAACACAUGCAAGUCGAACGAGUGGCGGACGGGUGAGUAAUGUCUGGGAAACUGCCUGAUGGAGGGGGAUAACUACUGGAAACGGUAGCUAAUACCGCAUACCAUCGGAUGUGCCCAGAUGAGAUUAGCUAGUAGGUGGGGUAAAGGCUCACCUAGGCGACGAUCCCUAGCUGGUCUGAGAGGGUGACCAGCCACACUGGAACGGGGGCACGGUCCAGACUCCUACGGGGGGCAGCAGUGGGGAGUAUUGCACGAUAGGCGCAAGCCGGAUGCAGCCAUGCCGCGUGUAUGAAGAAGGCCUUCGGGUUGUAAAGUACUUUCAGCGGGGAGGCGUUACCCGCAGAAAAAGCACCGGCUAACUCCGUGCCAGCAGCCGCGGUAAUAC